AGUGAGAACCCUUGGGUGCAGACUCUGCUGUAAUUUGGGAAGAGUUUUUGAUUUUAACAGAGACAGUCCCAUGCACUUACCUCCCCUGCUUCAUCUCCCCUUUCUAAAGCAUCAUUUUCAGUUUAGGUGAAUGUCAUGGUAGUGAGUCAAGACUUCUACUCUUAAAGCUUAUUGUGCAAAAAAAUUCUGCAGCAUUUGUGAGAUUUCCCCUAAACUUGUUCAACUCUCCCAGAAUUGCUCUCCUCUCCUAGAAUUGCUUUGGAAUUAGUAAUUACUUUUGGGUCUCUACACUGCUGUAUCACUCUUUCUCUAACCAGCAUAUUUAAAAUAUUAUUUUGCUAGGUUGUAAUUCUUCCUUUGGUUGAAUGUUGUUGUUGUUUGAAUUUUUUAUUCAUUUUAAUAAAUUUGGAAGAGGGGAAUUUGGGCUUUGUGAAAAUGACUUUUUUUUGGCUUCUAAGGGUCAAAAUUUUUAUCUGCAAAAUGGGAACAAGCAAUUACUACUCUUUCUGUUUGGGGGAGUUAAAGUAGACAAUGUAUUAGAAAGGGCUUUGUGAUAGGCAACCUAGCAUUACACCAUAAGGAACUAAAAGGGAAACAAACUAAGCCCAAAGUUGCAGAAGGAAAGAAAUAAUAAAAAUUAGAGCAAAAAUAAAUGACAUAGAGAGUAGGAAAGCAAUAGGAAAGAUAACAAAAUUAAGAGGUAGUUCUUUGAAAAGAUUUUUUAAAAAAUCUGACAAAUCUUUGCUAGACUAACCAAGAAAAGGAGAGGACUCAAAUAAAUAAAAAUUAUAAAUGAAAGAGAAGACAUUACAACCAAUGCCACGGAAAUACAAAGGCUCAUAAGAGACUACUAUGAACAAUUAUAAAUAAACAAAUUGGACACAUAUAAAAAUGGAUACAUUCCUAGAAAUAUAUAACCUAUCAAGACUAAAUUAUGAAGUAGAAAAUCUGAACAGACUAAUUAUGAGUAAGGAGAUUGAAUCAAUAAUCAAAAACCUCCCAAAGAAAAGCUCAGGACCAGGUGGUUUCUCUGGUAAGUUACCAAACAUUUAAAGAAGAAUUAAUACCAAUCCUUUGUAAACUCUUCGAAAAAACCAAAGGGAAAGAACACUCCCAAACUCAUUUUACAAGUAUUAUCCAGAUACCAAAGCCAGAUAAGAACAUUAUCAAAAAAGAAAAACCUCGGACCAAUAUCCCUGAUAAAUAUAAAUUGCGAAAAUUCUUGACAAAAUGUUAGGAAGUUCAACAGCACAUUAAAAGGAUCAUACAGCAUAUUAAGUGGGAUUCAUCCUGGAAUGCAAGAAUGGUUCAACAUAGACAAACCAUAAACAUGAUAUACCACAUUAAUGAGUGAAAAAUAAGCAUUAUAUAAUCAUCUCAAUAGGUGCAGAAAAAGCAUUUGACAAAAUUCAACAUCUUUUCAUGGUACAGACUCUCAACAAAUUAGGUAUAGCACCUCAACAUAAUAAAGGCCAUAUAUGACAAGCCCACAGCUAACAUCAUACUCAGCAGUGAAAGGUUGAGAAAUUUUCCUCUAAGACCAGGAAAAAGAUAAGGGUGCCCACUCUCACUACUCCUAUUCAACAUAAUUCUGGAAGUUCUAGACAGAGUAAUAAAGCAAGAAAAAGAAAUAAAAGCAUUCAAAUAGGAAAGGCAGAAGUAAAAUAGUCUCUGUUUGCAGAUAACAUGAUCUUGUACAGAAAAACCUAAAGACUUUAUUUAAAAAAAAAAUAACGGAAUUUGGAGUUCCUGUCGUGGCUCAGUGGUUAACGAAUCUGACUAGGAACCAUGAGGUUGCGGGUUCAAUCCCUGGCCUUGCUCAGUGGGUUAAGAAUCUGGCGUUGCUGUGAGCUGUGGUGUAGGCCGCAGACAUGGCUCAGAUCCCGAGUUGCUUUGGCUCUGGCGUAGGCCAGCCACUACAGCUCCAAUUAGACCCCUAGCCUGGAACCUCCAUAUGCCACAGGAAUGGCUCUAGAAGUGGCAAAAA
rnacentral:lncRNA from 1 species